UACGUAGGGUGCAAGCGUUAAUCGGAAUUACUGGGCGUAAAGCGUGCGCAGGCGGUUUUGUAAGUCUGUCGUGAAAGCCCCGGGCUCAACCUGGGAAUUGCGAUGGAGACUGCAAGGCUUGAAUCUGGCAGAGGGGGGUAGAAUUCCACGUGUAGCAGUGAAAUGCGUAGAGAUGUGGGGGAACACCGAUGGCGAAGGCAGCCCCCUGGGUCAAGAUUGACGCUCAUGCACGAAAGCGUGGGGAGCAAACAGG
rnacentral:rRNA from 1 species